AUUUGAAUAGUUUAAUUAAAACCUUAUAUUUUCAUUAUAAAAUUAGAAUUAUUUCUUUCAAAUA
rnacentral:tRNA from 1 species